UACGGAGGGCGCAAGCGUUGUUCGGAAUUACUGGGCGUAAGCGCGUGUAGGCGGCCAGGUAAGUCGGAUGUGAAAGCCCGGGGCCCAACCCCGGAACUGCACCCGAUACUGCCUGGCUGGAGUCCCGGAGAGGAUGGCGGAAUUUCCGGUGUAGAGGUGAAAUUCGUAGGUAUCGGAAGGAACACCAGUGGCGAAGGCGGCCAUCUGGACGGUGACUGACGCUGAGACGCGAAAGCGUGGGGAGCAAACAGG
rnacentral:rRNA from 1 species